rnacentral:rRNA from 1 species
UACGGAGGGGGCUAGCGUUGUUCGGAAUUACUGGGCGUAAAGCGCACGUAGGCGGCGCGAACAGUCAGAGGUGAAAGGCCUGGGCUCAACCUAGGAACUGCCUUUGAUACUAGCGUGCUUGAGUCCGGAAGAGGGUGGCGGAAUUCCCAGUGUAGAGGUGAAAUUCGUAGAUAUUGGGAAGAACACCGGUGGCGAAGGCGGUCACCUGGUCCGGUACUGACGCUGAGGUGCGAAAGCGUGGGGAGCAAAC